CUCGUCUGAACUUCCAGUCGCCCGUUCUCUCUCCUCCGAUCACUAUUUCAGACGGGUGAGGUAUUUCGACUGCACGCACGCAGCAAGCAGGACCUUCACGUGGUCAGGCAGCGAGGGAAUACUUCCAGUAGUUGCUCUUGGAAGUGCGAGU